UACGGGGGGGGCAAGCGUUGUUCGGAAUUACUGGGCGUAAAGGGCUCGUAGGCGGCCAACUAAGUCGGACGUGAAAUCCCCAGGCUCAACCUGGGAACUGCGUCUGAUACUGGAUGGCUUGAAUUCGGGAGAGGGAUGCAGAAUUCCAGGUGUAGCGGUGAAAUGCGUAGAUAUCUGGAGGAAUACCGGUGGCGAAGGCGGCAUCCUGGACCGACAUUGACGCUGAGGAGCGAAAGCUAGGGGAGCGAACGGG
rnacentral:rRNA from 1 species